rnacentral:misc_RNA from 1 species
GAAAUGCGAUACGUAAUGUGAAUUGCUUUCCGUGAAUCAUCAAAUCUUUGAACGCACAUUGCACUCUUCGGAGUAUGCUUGUUUGAGAAUCUAUAGUAUUAAUUCUACCCAGUUAAUGGCGUAGAGAUAUGGUUUUCCCACUUGCCAAGUCUGGUUAAUGGGUCUAUUCAAAUAUAUUGCCUCACCUUGAUGGGUUAACGGCAAGAAAAGUAUGUGUAUCUCUGUUUAUACCGAGUCACGAUGCCAAUUACUGCUUCCAUCAAUAUAGGGAGAGGUUCUUAACCACCACAAGUCCCUAAAAAGGCUUGAACAAUGGUCUCAAAUCAAGUAGGAUGACCCGCUGAACUUAA